rnacentral:rRNA from 1 species
CAGUCGAACGAGUUCUCGUUGAUGAUCGGUGCUUGCACCGAGAUUCAACAUGGAACGAGUGGCGGACGGGUGAGUAACACGUGGGUAACCUGCCCUUAAGUGGGGGAUAACAUUUGGAAACAGAUGCUAAUACCGCAUAGAUCCAAGAACCGCAUGGUUCUUGGCUGAAAGAUGGCGUAAGCUAUCGCUUUUGGAUGGACCCGCGGCGUAUUAGCUAGUUGGUGAGGUAAUGGCUCACCAAGGCGAUGAUACGUAGCCGAACUGAGAGGUUGAUCGGCCACAUUGGGACUGAGACACGGCCCAAACUCCUACGGGAGGCAGCAGUAGGGAAUCUUCCACAAUGGACGCAAGUCUGAUGGAGCAACGCCGCGUGAGUGAAGAAGGCUUUCGGGUCGUAAAACUCUGUUGUUGGAGAAGAAUGGUCGGCAGAGUAACUGUUGUCGGCGUGACGGUAUCCAACCAGAAAGCCACGGCUAACUACGUGCCAGCAGCCGCGGUAAUACGUAGGUGGCAAGCGUUAUCCGGAUUUAUUGGGCGUAAAGCGAGCGCAGGCGGUUUUUUAAGUCUGAUGUGAAAGCCCUCGGCUUAACCGAGGAAGCGCAUCGGAAACUGGGAAACUUGAGUGCAGAAGAGGACAGUGGAACUCCAUGUGUAGCGGUGAAAUGCGUAGAUAUAUGGAAGAACACCAGUGGCGAAGGCGGCUGUCUGGUCUGUAACUGACGCUGAGGCUCGAAAGCAUGGGUAGCGAACAGGAUUAGAUACCCUGGUAGUCCAUGCCGUAAAC